GAUGAACGCUGGCGGCGUGCCUAAUACAUGCAAGUCGAGCGAACGGACGAGAAGCUUGCUUCUCUGAUGUUAGCGGCGGACGGGUGAGUAACACGUGGAUAACCUACCUAUAAGACUGGGAUAACUUCGGGAAACCGGAGCUAAUACCGGAUAAUAUUUUGAACCGCAUGGUUCAAAAGUGAAAGACGGUCUUGCUGUCACUUAUAGAUGGAUCCGCGCCGCAUUAGCUAGUUGGUAAGGUAACGGCUUACCAAGGCAACGAUGCAUAGCCGACCUGAGAGGGUGAUCGGCCACACUGGAACUGAGACACGGUCCAGACUCCUACGGGAGGCAGCAGUAGGGAAUCUUCCGCAAUGGGCGAAAGCCUGACGGAGCAACGCCGCGUGAGUGAUGAAGGCCUUCGGAUCGUAAAACUCUGUUAUUAGGGAAGAACAUAUGUGUAAGUAACUGUGCACAUCUUGACGGUACCUAAUCAGAAAGCCACGGCUAACUACGUG
rnacentral:rRNA from 1 species